AAUUAUGGUGAAUAUUUGUAAGUAAAUACUCCAAAUUGAGAUACGAAAAUUCAAUUUUAUGUUAAAAAUGUGUAAAAUUUCUUUAGAGUAGAAGAAGGAUGUGAGAUAUAAGAUGUACUGAAUAAAGCUGUGAUAAAGAGAAUGAUCACAGCAGGCGAUAUAGCGCAUCUGAAUGGGAUGCGAACUGUCAAGCAGACAAUGUCAGCAUCCCUGCUUGCGUAGCAACAACUCCAUGCGUCACCCAACCGCGUUCACUCUUGCCACUUGCGAACCGACGUCAGCCUGGGUAAGUUGUGUGUGCUGCACGUGAGGGGUGAUUCCUUCCCAGUGAAAUACCAAACUCCACAGUCAUCUUUGAAGUCAUGAGUCGUUUGAGAAUCAUAGGUACGGUUAGUAAUUUUACUAUGGAAUCGGUACACUGAACCCAAACAUCAUCCUUGUUUCGUAUUUUUUAUCAUUCCCCGUCUGUUUAAAAUUGAUAAUUUCAUUUCCGUAUGACAGAACCGAGCGUAUGCUUUAUCACAGCAAUAUCAACACAACAUCAUUCCUCAUGCCGAUGAUGUUUACUUCAAUUUUCGAAUGCUCCUUCAUUCGAUUUGUGACCUGAAAAAGUGCAACUGACUACCCUACCAUAAGUGGAUGAACAGCAUGAACAGUGUUUUGGUUGCGCCCCAUUACGACUGUCAUCCACUUUCAGGAUGAUUCGUCAUCCGCGUGUGAAGUGAUUGACGGUCGAGUUCUCGGCAGCGGUUGAGGUCGAUGCUGAGCCCGCAAUCUUUCUUCCGCCAUUUGUAUUUUCACAUAGAAGAUGAAACACGGAACACUGAGGCAGAAAUUUAGAAUUUUUAGGAAAAUUAACUUGAACUUGUGGCAGACAGAGGAGCCGCAGCGAAAGCGGAGAUGACGAGUUGUUGCAUGUGCUAACUUCAUUCCGUGGCCGUCAUCCGAUUUCGGAGUGAAGUGUCUUGGAUCGUGAGGCUUCCAUUCCCGAUUCCCUUUUCCCAGCCCACCAGUGAUCAUCCGUUAUGCUGCAUGCCGUUGGAUAGUAAACGGGUUUCCCUCUAUUUUUUCGAAGAAAAUGUUUGUGUUUGAUGUCAAUUAUUUUGGCAUCGUUUCGAUAGUUUGAUUAAUAAAUAUGAAAAGAUUAA